GUUUGAGGUUCUAACCUUGGUCCGUUAUCCGGAUCGGGGACAGUGCAUGGUAGGCAGUUUGACUGGGGCGGUCUCCUCCCAAAGAGUAACGGAGGAGCACGAAGGUACCCUAAGGAUGGUCGGAAAUCAUCCGCUUAGUGUAAUGGCACAAGGGUGCUUGACUGCGAGAGUGACAACUCGAGCAGGUGCGAAAGCAGGUCAUAGUGAUCCGGUGGUUCUGAAUGGAAGGGCCAUCGCUCAACGGAUAAAAGGUACGCCGGGGAUAACAGGCUGAUACCGCCCAAGAGUUCACAUCGACGGCGGUGUUUGGCACCUCGAUGUCGGCUCAUCACAUCCUGGGGCUGAAGCCGGUCCCAAGGGUAUGGCUGUUCGCCAUUUAAAGUGGUACGCGAGCUGGGUUUAGAACGUCGUGAGACAGUUCGGUCCCUAUCUGCCGUGGGCGUAGGAAAUUUGAGAAGAGUUGCUCCUAGUACGAGAGGACCGGAGUGGACGAACCCCUGGUGUUCGGGUUGUUUCGCCAGAAGCAUUGCCCGGUAGCUACGUUCGGAAAGGAUAACCGCUGAAAGCAUCUAAGCGGGAAGCCUCCUUCAAGACGAGAUUUCCCUUAGGACUUGAUCCUACUAAAGUGCCGUUCAAGACGAGGACGUUGAUAGGCUGGGUGUGUAAGUGCAGUGAUGCAUUGAGCUAACCAGUACUAAUUGCACGU
rnacentral:rRNA from 12 species